GAGAGGACCGGAGUGGACGAACCUCUGGUGUUCCGGUUGUCACGCCAGUGGCAUUGCCGGGUAGCUAUGUUCGGAAGCGAUAACCGCUGAAAGCAUCUAAGCGGGAAGCGCGCCUCAAGAUGAGAUCUCCCGGGGCACAAGCCCCCUGAAGGAACCAUGUAGACUACGUGGUUGAUAGGUCAGGUGUGUAAGUACAGCAAUGUAUUGAGCUAACUGAUACUAAUGAUCCGUGCGGCUUGACCAU
rnacentral:rRNA from 1 species